GUCGAUUUAUAUAGAUUUUGCGAUGACUUAGGAGAUGGAUAUUCCAUUCAAGAAAAUAUUCUGAAAAAACCCAUAUCAAACACCAAAUAUGGUUAAAAGAACUCACUUGGGUUCAUUUGUAAGUUCUGAAUGUACUCGGUCCUUUUGUGUUUGUUGUGGAAGAAUUUUAAGUGAGUAAUAAAGUAUCAUGUCAUUUCACAAAGAAAAAAAAAAAGAACACAAGUAGAAGCUAUAAUUGUUCUUCAUCUUUCUUUGGCUAAUCUCGUCCAGAGGCUCCAGCCGAGGUUCGCUCACUCGAGGUCAUUAAAACAGUGGGCCAGAGCAGCCUGAUGAUCGGCUGGGAGAGGCCGCCCCUCGACGAGCUGGGCUGCAGUAACGGCACAUUUGUGUACGGAUACAGGGUGUUUGUAGAUGGAGACUUUCACAAAUCUGUCAUGAGCUCAGCAUGCACCAAGUGUAUUUUGGAGAAUGUUGACCUGAGCGUCCCAGUCCACAUCAGUGUCCAGACACUGGGAUCUAAUGGUCUCUGCUCCAACAGCGUCCACACCAUGUACAGGACCUCAGUCAGAACAGAUCAACUCUGAGUCACAGUGUCCUGAUGACAACAACCCUCACAGUGGCUUAGAUCAACAACAAAUCCUCAGUAAAAACCUUCAUCACAGUGGCCAAGAUUUGAAUGUGCACAGCCAUCUAUAGCUGCAGCCCUCGGUGGGACCGUCCUAACCUCCACCUCAGCUGAGACACAGUCACACUGCUGGGACAACCACGCCAUGUGAGGCUCAGGUCAACCAAUCAGAAAAACUCAUCUCACAUGGUCAUUACCAGCCUAUCAACAUCAAGUGACCUGUGGCCGGCCACUAAACCUCGAAAAGAUUAACAGAAGAUGUCAAAAAAAAAAACUGUAUAAGAUUUCUGCACUCUGCGCUCACAGUUAACCUGCAUGUAAAAGCAGCUUCUUCGUUCCUUGUCGGAAGAACUACCUGUUUCAGAGUCUCACCUGUUGGACCUCUUGAGUGAGUAAGACUUUUUGACUGCCAGAUGAAAGACCAGAGGUGGCUGCCAAUUAAAACAAGUCCUGAAAAAACCGCUAGGAGUGGAUGUUUAUAAAGCCAAGCUCAAUCACGUUGUAAAAAGCUGCCUGUGACACCAACAUUUACUAACAUUGAUCAAGCAAGACAUGGAAAUGUUGGAGGCAUAUCUGCAUCUGCUGCACACUUUUACACUGUGUUAAACACUGAAAGAUAACGUGUCAUACUGCUUCUGCAAAGAGUCCCGCUGCUGCCUCUCUGGACUCUAUGACGUGAGCGGCUGGCUAAAAGGGAAUCCGCUGUAUGAAAAGCCUUUUUGACAGCAACACAUACUGCUGACACAACAUUGUACACGAAGGUCAUAGUACUUGAUUUUUACACAUGAAGCCAAAUAUGUGAAAAGAUGAUUCACUCCAAAGACUUGUCAGUUUCCUUCUCCUCAUAGGUCUACGGGAUUUCUUUAAACACAGAAGCCAGAUGUUGUUUAAGUUUUAAAAUUUGCACACAAUCAUCAAUGAUAGCUAGAAGAUGAGAUUUAAAAAAAAAGAGAUUAUCACUGAUAUUUUUUGUAGAGAAUAUUAUUGAAAAAAAAUAUGCCAGUAUACCACACACUGUAUGUCUUUUUGUAUAAGUGACACUUCGUUUUUCAUACCUAAUAGAUGUCACGUUUGCACGCUCAUAUUGUUAUUUUUAUUUUACAAAUGUUCACGACACACAUACGAUGUUCUUUUGCUACUUACUGUAAGUACGGGUGUGGAGUGAUCAUGGUGCAGCAAAGGUAUUUUUAUAUCAGUAAUUGAUAAUAUUGAUUUCUCAUUGAUUCCUUACAACUGUACAGAGAAUAAAUGUUUAUAUAACAUUAACAGUCAA